GUGGGGAAUAUUGCACAAUGGGCGAAAGCCUGAUGCAGCGACGCCGCGUGAGCGAUGAAGGCCUUCGGGUCGUAAAGCUCUGUCCUAAGGGAAGAAUUUUGACGGUACCUUAGGAGGAAGCCCCGGCUAACUACGUGCCAGCAGCCGCGGUAAUACGUAGGGGGCAAGCGUUAUCCGGAAUCACUGGGCGUAAAGGGUGCGUAGGCGGCUCUUCAAGUCAGGGGUGAAAGGCUACGGCUCAACCGUAGUAAGCCUUUGAAACUGUAGAGCUUGAGUGCAGGAGAGGAGAGUGGAAUUCCUAGUGUAGCGGUGAAAUGCGUAGAUAUUAGGAGGAACACCAGUGGCGAAGGCGACUCUCUGGACUGUAACUGACGCUGAGGCACGAAAGCGUGGGGAGCAAACAGG
rnacentral:rRNA from 1 species